GUGUAGCCUGCAGAGCUUUUGAUGUCGCAGAUACUGCAUCAGGAACUGAUUGGAUAAUAAUCAGGCACCAUCAGUUCCUAAUGCAUUGCCUUCAGCAUCUAAACGA
rnacentral:pre_miRNA from 1 species